rnacentral:rRNA from 1 species
UACGAAGGGUGCAAGCGUUAAUCGGAAUUACUGGGCGUAAAGGGUGCGUAGGCGGUUAUUUAAGUCUGCCGUGAAAUCCCCGGGCUCAACCUGGGAAUGGCGGUGGAUACUGGAUAGCUAGAGUGUGUCAGAGGAUGGUGGAAUUCCCGGUGUAGCGGUGAAAUGCGCAGAGAUCGGGAGGAACAUCAGUGGCGAAGGCGGCCAUCUGGGACAACACUGACGCUGAAGCACGAAAGCGUGGGGAGCAAACAGG